UUCUCUACAGCAGGAUACGGGAGCUUCACAGCGCUAUCUGAUGCGGACUUUUGUAAACCAGAUGCCAGGAAGUCUCAAAAUGCAGAGAAAGAAACUUACACUGGCAGCUGUUCUCCUGCUGUGUGCUGUUAACGCACUCUGCUCUGAUGAUGUUGAUAAUCAGAAAUGUGUGUCCAGCUGGGAGGCGGAUUGCUUUCAGCCAGCUGACCACCUGAAUGAUCCUGAUCCUGUCAGCCUGAAGUUGUCAGCCGGUAAGAAAC